rnacentral:rRNA from 1 species
UGGGGAAUAUUGCACAAUGGGCGCAAGCCUGAUGCAGCGACGCCGCGUGGGGGAUGACGGCCUUCGGGUUGUAAACCUCUUUCACCAUCGACGAAGGUCCGGGUUUUCUCGGAUUGACGGUAGGUGGAGAAGAAGCACCGGCCAACUACGUGCCAGCAGCCGCGGUAAUACGUAGGGUGCGAGCGUUGUCCGGAAUUACUGGGCGUAAAGAGCUCGUAGGUGGUGUGGCGCGUUGUUCGUGAAAUCUCACGGCUUAACUGUGAGCGUGCGGGCGAUACGGGCAGACUAGAGUACUGCAGGGGAGACUGGAAUUCCUGGUGUAGCGGUGGAAUGCGCAGAUAUCAGGAGGAACACCGGUGGCGAAGGCGGGUCUCUGGGCAGUAACUGACGCUGAGGAGCGAAAGCGUGGGGAGCGAACA